ensembl:lncRNA
CAAAGGUCAACAGAGCGGGGCCAAGGCGGGCUGGGGAAGCGAGAUGUACCAGGGUGCAGCCCCAGGGAUCAGAGGACGGGACGGACGAGGCACCAACAGCGUACGGCCACGUAGGCCCCUGUGGCCAAGACGCGGCAAGAGGUACAGAACCGACGGUGGAGGUGGGGCGGCCGCGAGCGACAGAGAGGGGCCCGGAAGCCAUUCCCAACGACCCGGAAGUGAGGCAGCUUCCGCGUCACGCCACGGAAUCUCACUGCCAGGAGCCUCCAGCACAGGAGCGGUCCCCCGGCACCCCGGACGUCUCCUGCCUUUCCUGGCCCCCAUGGGCCCCCCUCUUGGGGCUCGCGCCCACCACCACCAGCACCCAGAGCCACAGCUGGCCCCGGAGAACUCUCUCGCCGAGUACUGUCGCCUCCACGGCCCUCACAGGCAACUUGCUCUGCCCAGCUUCCCCCCUCAGGGACUGAGGGCGCUUCUCUGCCCAGAGAUGCCACCAGCCAUGGAGGCCAGGGAAGGACACCCACACGAGGCGAGGGCGGUUAGGUCCUAAACAGGGCAAGAAUAUUGGCAUGGGUUGCCAUUUCCUCCUCCAAGGGAUCUUCCCAACCCAGUAAUAGAACCUGUGUCCCCUGUCUCCUGCUUGGCAGGUGGAUCAUUGUGACCUGGGAAGCCUUUAGUAUGAGCUUCCCCAAAGGGCAAUUCCACUCAUGGGACUGGAGAUACACUGAAUUCAUGGUGACUUCGAAGGAAAGGAAGAAGAAAGUUGAAUGUCCACAGAUGUGUGUUUAGUUUAAACCAAUAUUCAUCUCUUCUGAUAAUGACCUGUGAAUACAUAGGCUAGGUGUCAAAUAUUGUGAAAGAAAAAGAUCAUAAUUAUCCUGGGGAACCAGAGAGAAAUAAGAG